CGAACUCAGGACCUUGUGCUUGCGAGGCAGGCACCAGAAGCACUGAGCUAAAUCCCCGGCCCUAAUUAACACAUGUGAUGGUGGAGGACUGAGAUGAAAUGAUCUCCAGCACAUACUACCAUGCAUACCACUCCUCCAUUCUAUUUCAGGCCUUUAUCAUUUACAGCACCAGUUUUCCAAAUCUCCAGUGUUGAGCUGCUGCGGGACCUGUACAUCGACCGCCCCUUGCCCUACCUCAUUGGCUCCAAACUCUUCAUGGAGCAGGAAGAUGUAGGGCUUGGAGAGCUCUCUAGUAAAGAAGGCUCCGUGGGCAGUGAUCGGGGGAGCAUUGUGGACAGUGAUGCAGAGAAAGAGGAGGAGGAGUCAGAAAAUGAUUUUGCCAAUCAGAGUGACAAUGAUCAAAACCAGCACACCACACAGAUGAGCAAUGAAGAAGAGGAUGAUGAUGCUGACCUCUUCGCUGACUCUGAGGAGGAGGAUAUUGAGGACGUUGACAAAGAUACUAAGCCAAAAAAGCCCAUGUCUUUCGCUGAUGAGUUGGCAGCUCAAAUCAAAGGGGAUGGAAGCCGUCUUGGAGAGGAACAGGCAGGUGAGCUGGGACAAGGUAACAAGUCAUCCGUGCAGUACAGGAGCCCCUGCUGGCCCCACUGGGCUGGGGUUCUCCUCAUUCCUAAAGUGCAGAGGCACAGGCACUCUGACACCAGGA
rnacentral:lncRNA from 1 species